CCAGACUCCUACGGGAGGCAGCAGUGGGGAAUAUUGCACAAUGGGGGAAACCCUGAUGCAGCGACGCCGCGUGAGCGAGGAAGUAUUUCGGUAUGUAAAGCUCUAUCAGCAGGGAAGAAAAUGACGGUACCUGACUAAGAAGCCCCGGCUAACUACGUGCCAGCAGCCGCGGUAAUACGUAGGGGGCAAGCGUUAUCCGGAUUUACUGGGUGUAAAGGGAGCGUAGACGGCUAAUCAAGUCAGAAGUGAAAGCCCGGGGCUCAACCUUGGGACUGCUUUUGAAACUGAGUAGCUAGAGUGCAGGAGAGGUAGGCGGAAUUCCUAGUGUAGCGGUGAAAUGCGUAGAUAUUAGGAGGAACACCAGUGGCGAAGGCGGCUUACUGGACUGUAACUGACGUUGAGGCUCGAAGGCGUGGGGAGCAAACAGGAUUAGAUACCCCUGUA
rnacentral:rRNA from 1 species